rnacentral:rRNA from 1 species
GAUGAACGCUGGCGGCGUGCUUAACACAUGCAAGUCGAGCGAAGCACCUUGACGGAUUUCUUCGGAUUGAAGCCUUGGUGACUGAGCGGCGGACGGGUGAGUAACGCGUGGGUAACCUGCCUCAUACAGGGGGAUAACAGUUGGAAACGGCUGCUAAUACCGCAUAAGCGCACAGUAUCGCAUGGUACGGUGUGAAAAACUCCGGUGGUAUGAGAUGGACCCGCGUCUGAUUAGGUAGUUGGUGGGGUAACGGCCUACCAAGCCGACGAUCAGUAGCCGACCUGAGAGGGUGACCGGCCACAUUGGGACUGAGACACGGCCCAAACUCCUACGGGAGGCAGCAGUGGGGAAUAUUGCACAAUGGGGGAAACCCUGAUGCAGCGACGCCGCGUGAGCGAUGAAGUAUUUCGGUAUGUAAAGCUCUAUCAGCAGGGAAGAAAAUGACGGUACCUGACUAAGAAGCCCCGGCUAACUACGUGCCAGCAGCCGCGGUAAUACGUAGGGGGCAAGCGUUAUCCGGAUUUACUGGGUGUAAAGGGAGCGUAGACGGCAUGGCAAGCCAGAUGUGAAAGCCCGGGGCUCAACCCCGGGACUGCAUUUGGAACUGUCAGGCUAGAGUGUCGGAGAGGAAAGCGGAAUUCCUAGUGUAGCGGUGAAAUGCGUAGAUAUUAGGAGGAACACCAGUGGCGAAGGCGGCUUUCUGGACGAUGACUGACGUUGAGGCUCGAAAGCGUGGGGAGCAAACAAAAAUAGAUACCCUGGUAGUCCACGCCGUAAACGAGGAAUACUAGGGUCGGGGGCAAAGCCAUUCGGUGCCGCAGCAAACGCAAUAAGUAUCCCACCCUGGGGAGUACGUUCGCAAGAAUGAAACUCAAAGGAAUUGACGGGGGCCCGCACAAGCGGUGGAGCAUGUGGUUUAAUUUGAAGCAACGCGAAGAACCCUACCUGGUCUUGACAUCCCUCUGACCGCUCUUUAAUCGGAGCUUUCCUUCGGGACAGAGGAGACAGGUGGUGCAUGGUUGUCGUCAGCUCGUGUCGUGAGAUGUUGGGUUAAGUCCCGCAACGAGCGCAACCCCUAUCUUUAGUAGCCAGCAUUUUGGAUGGGCACUCUAGAGAGACUGCCAGGGAUAACCUGGAGGAAGGUGGGGAUGACGUCAAAUCAUCAUGCCCCUUAUGACCAGGGCUACACACGUGCUACAAUGGCGUAAACAAAGGGAAGCGAGCCCGCGAGGGGGAGCAAAUCCCAAAAAUAACGUCUCAGUUCGGAUUGUAGUCUGCAACUCGACUACAUGAAGCUGGAAUCGCUAGUAAUCGCGAAUCAGAAUGUCGCGGUGAAU